rnacentral:lncRNA from 1 species
CCCUGAUUUUGAUCACCACGACUUCGAGUGUGCAUCGACUCAACAUGUAGUUCCGACUCUUCAUCGAUCGACUGAGUAAAUCGCACCGACUCAUAGUCGACUGACUGACGAAUGUUCGAUUACUAUCGAUCAACAGCGGACGACUUGAACCGUUAGCAUAAUUGAAUUACUAGCCGACGGUCGCUCAUAGAUUUUAUCGACAUAUGAUCGGCUCUACCGAUAUAUGGUCGGUUAAUCUGCUUAAC